rnacentral:lncRNA from 1 species
AGUUUGGAUGACAUCAAUAAUUGGAUUUCUAAGGCAAUAGCUUCUCGAGAAACUGACCGCCUCAUCAAUUCUGAACUAGGAUCCCCCAGCAGAGCAGACCCUCUCGGCGCUGACUGCCAACCAGAAACACGGCGUGCUUCUGCCUUGCCACACCGUCUCCGAUGCGUGGACACAUUUAGGGGGGUAGCUCUCAUCCUUAUGGUCUUCGUUAACUACGGCGGAGGAAAGUAUUGGUACUUCAAACAUUCAAGUUGGAAUGGCAUUUGGCUGGCUUUGACAUUCUUUUUACCUGUCCCUGGGUGCCCUACUGGCUACCUUGGCCCUGGAGGUAUAGG